ACACAAAACUAGAAGCAGUACAGACACAAACACAAGAAACCAGCUUGAUAUCACGCAUUAUUGAUACGAGCAAUAUUGUUCAACAUGACGUCAAAAGCGUCGGGUAAGGGAACAAUUGCUCCCGUGAACCUGGAAAGAGGAUCGACGACGCAGCCCAAACCAGAGUAUCGUCCUCCUCCAGUCCAUGAGAAAACUGGAUCCCCUAAAACCAGGGGUCUGGAAAAUCCACCGCCAACAACCAGCAACCCCCGUUCGAACAGCCAGCCGCCGUUCGGAGCUUCUGUUAAUCCUGACAAUGCGACGACGAAACCAACAAGCAAGGGAUCCAUGAAGUAACCCAGCCGGGGCCCGCUGAAGCUAGCUACAUAUACGCCGAUGAGAAGACCGCAUACUGCCUAUGAGAUGUCUCUGUCAAGGGUCAAACUACUAAAUAAAGUGUGUUUGUGUGUGUUAUUCAAAUGGAUACGUAGUGUAAUAGUAGUCACAGUAUAUAUAGCAAAAUAUGAUACCUUAAUCUCUAUUAUUAGUUUGUAUUAGUGUGUAUAUGGCCUGUUGUAUAUUGAAAAAUAAUGUUGGAUAUCCUCUGCUGUUAGUUUGUUUUGUAUAAAAACAUCCAGCAAAAAUUGUCUCCUACAAAAA